UACAGAGGUGGCAAGCGUUGUUCGGAAUUACUGGGCGUAAAGGGCGCGUAGGCGGCCUACUAAGUCAGACGUGAAAUCCCCCGGCUUAACCUGGGAACUGCGUCUGAUACUGGAAGGCUUGAGGAUGGGAGAGGGAUGUAGAAUUCCAGGUGUAGCGGUGAAAUGCGUAGAUAUGCGGAGGAACACCGAUGGCGAAGGCAAUCCCCUGGGCCUGCACUGACGCUCGAUGCA
rnacentral:rRNA from 1 species